UGCGAGCGUUGUCCGGAAUUACUGGGCGUAAAGAGCUCGUAGGUGGUUUGUCGCGUUGUUCGUGAAAUCUCACGGCUUAACUGUGAGCGUGCGGGCGAUACGGGCAGACUUGAGUACUGCAGGGGAGACUGGAAUUCCUGGUGUAGCGGUGGAAUGCGCAGAUAUCAGGAGGAACACCGGUGGCGAAGGCGGGUCUCUGGGCAGUAACUGACGCUGAGGAGCGAAAGCGUGGGGAGCGAACAGGAUUAGAUACCCUGGUAGUCCACGCCGUAAACGGUGGGUACUAGGUGUGGGUUUCCUUCCUUGGGAUCCGUGCCGUAGCUAACGCAUUAAGUACCCCGCCUGGGGAGUACGGCCGCAAGGCUAAAACUCAAAGAAAUUGACGGGGGCCCGCACAAGCGGCGGAGCAUGUGGAUUAAUUCGAUGCAACGCGAAGAACCUUACCUGGGUUUGACAUGCACAGGACGCCGGCAGAGAUGUCGGUUUCCUUGUGGCCUUGUGUGCAGCUGGUGCAUGGCUGUCGUCAGCUCGUGUCCGUGAGAUGUUGGGUUAAGUCCCGCAACGAGCGCAACCCGUGUCUCAUGUUGCCAGCGGGUAAUGCCGGGGACUCGUGAGAGACUGCCGGGGUCAACUCGGAGGAAGGUGGGGAUGACGUCAAGUCAUCAUGCCCCUUAUGUCCAGGGCUUCACACAUGCUACAAUGGCCGGUACAAAGGGCUGCGAUGCCGCGAGGUUAAGCGAAUCCUUUUAAAGCCGGUCUCAGUUCGGAUCGGGGUCUGCAACUCGACCCCGUGAAGUCGGAGUCGCUAGUAAUCGCAGAUCAGCAACGCU
rnacentral:rRNA from 1 species